UAUGUACUCCCUCCGUCCCNNAAUUCUUGUCUUAGGUUUGUCUAGAUAUGAAUGUAUAUAGUCACAUUUUAGUAUUUAGAUACAUUCAUUUCUAGACAAAUCUACGACAAGAAUUUUGGGACGGAGGGAGUACAUG
rnacentral:pre_miRNA from 1 species